AGCCUAAAGAGAAAUCUUCGGAGGUAACUUUUCUUUUUCCCUUUUGCAUAAAACUUGGUAACUUGAUAAUUUUGUGCAUUUCCUUCACUAUUUCUGAGUGGGUCAACUUCUUCAAUGGUUUCAAUAUUUGUAAGUCCGUACUUGGUCAGGAAGGAAAGAAAAUUCAUCACUGUUUUUAAAAUGUUUCAUGCCUUAAAUGUUGGACAGACCUCUAAUAAUUAUGUAGUUGCAAAAUUUGUCCUACAAAUUGUGACUUUAUGGAACGUGUAUUACUUGCUUUUUUGGAGGGUUUCACAUAUUUGACUUGUGGAUGUAAAGCAUCCAUCACACUUUUGCUUACAUUGUCUUCUCUUUUUCACAUUGUUACUUAAUGAGGUCUCAGCAAGGUGCUUAAUUACUAUAUUUCUUUGGGCCAAUCCUGUAGUUUGCUUGAUUAGUUAUUGAAAUUUCUUAUGAAAUAUAAAAUCAACUUGAAUAUCAAUGCUGUUUUUUAAUGACCAACCUUCCAAGAUGCUUUAAACUGUAGUAUGUUAUUGUCCUAACAAAGAUUUGAUGUUCAGUUCUUACAUAACUGGUUCUUUUAAAAACUGAUUAAUGGUCAUCAUUCUGUAUGAUUUUUUAAAGAACAUGUAAUUGCUUUAUUUGUACUAUAACUUAAAUGGACUUGUCUUAGAUUGUGUGCUUAUGUAAUCAAACAUUGCACUUACAAAAGGAUUAUCCAUGGAAACUGAAGUUGUUUUAGUUUGGAGGUUUCUGUAUUAUUCUUGGUAAAAAGGUAUUCAUCUGUCUUCCAAGGGGCUUCUAGUAGUGUGCAGGCUUAAUAUUUCAAAUAGCUAUGUUUAUCACUAUAGGAACCAUAUGCUAAUUGCACUGUUGGGGGAGCUUGUAAUGUCAAAUUCCUCUUUUAUCUUUUAAGGGGUACAAGUAUAAUGGAGGUCAAUUUAUGAGCCCAGCAAUAUAAUGCCAUCUAAUACUUUUGGAGGCUCUUAAAAGUUAAUAUGAGUAGAGCUUUUAUUGUCAUCUUAUACAAUUGAAUGUUUUUCUUAAGUUGCUUUCUAUAUGUACACUAUCUUUCUUUUUAUCCAAUUUUUCAAAGCAAAUUUUAUGAUGGAUUUUUCAGGCAUGGUCUACCAUAUCUAAGU
rnacentral:misc_RNA from 1 species